AUUCUGCCUCCUUCUGAGUCAUUCAGGUACAGGGUGUGUCUGCCAAUUGAAACUGCACAGCGGAGGAAGUUUUUGAGUUCACAUCUGCCGGGAUGGGAAAGCAGUGCAACCAGGGACUGGGUGGAAACUUUUACAACAGUAAUGCAAGGGCAGAAGCGUCCUGAGCUUGUCACGCAGGCAGAUCUGACCAAGCCCGCCUCUCAGCCUCACGUUCUUAAGUAGCAUCUAAGCAAAAGAAAAGGGUGGGCAAAGUGCUAGUAAUGAGAUUUGAGGCCUCUGAGUCGACUCCCAAGUAGAAUGUGAGAGAAGGGUGCCGGCUUCUGCUGGGCAGCUGCAGUUGCUCAGCAGCUCCUGGCCGAGAAUCUUCGCCUUUGGAAAUUCCGGAGCUGCCCAGGCGUUUUGAAUCUCUCAGGACUCAGCAGCAGCCCACCUCCUCAACGACCUCUCCAUUGGCCAGAAUCUGGGACACACAGCCUGACUUUGUGCUCAGCUGAGGGAAACCCCUCGCCGAACACCAAAACCGGCGCUGGUUCAUUUCUCUGUGCACUCUGGGAAAGCCACUGCCCCUCAGACCGCAGUUUCGAGGAGCACCAGGAUCUGGGGUGCCGGGGGGAGUACAGGAAUCUCCCGGUCCAUUCUCCCUCCCGGGUUGCUUGUCUCCUCCGUACCUCUCGCAGCCCCUUCCCAGCCUCUCCUCCCCAGAGCGCCGCCGACACUCGCCGGGUCGCGGCUCAGGUUUUCUGCUGCCCGCGCGAAAGUGGCUCGGGGAGCUCCUGGCCACAAGCUCAGCACAUCGAUCCUCCUAGGGCUGCGGGGGGUGUGGGACCAGGGCGGUGCGCUACGAGACUCCGGGCCGUCCUCUGCCCACUCAGACUUUUCGAGAGAAAAGUUUCAAAAGUCUCUCCACCUCCUUUUUUUACAGGGGCUCGGGAGAAUCCUCUCCACCGCCAGAGAUCAGCGUCUAUCCGGGCGAGGGCAGUGAUUUAUACAGUAGAAUCCAGGGGUUACCGGGCUCCGCCCCUUCUCUCUCUCUCUCUUUUUUUCUUUCAUUUGUUGUUUGGGGAGGAGGGGUUCUUCUUCUUUUUUUUUUUUUUGCUUCUGCCCCAGAUCUUUCCUGGACAGUGCGUCUCAGCAGUUCAGAUCCGGGGGCCCCCAGCUGGCAGAGGGCGUGGGGGGUUAAGGCAUUAACCCCUCCCAGCCUCUUCCUGAAGAAACCACUCAGCCUUGGCGCGGCGCUGGGUGACUUCGCGUAGCAGGCAGGGAACUGGCCGCGGCGAGCGGGACUGGCCAUUGGAGUGCUCCGCUGCGGAGGGAGGGGACCCCGACUCGAGUAAGUUUGCAAGAGCACUACGCAGUCAGUCGGGGGCAGCAGCAAGAUGAGGAGCGAGCCGUACAGAUCCGGGGCUCUCCGAAUGCAACUUCGCCCUGCUUGAGCGAGGAAGAGAAACUUCAAUAAGUUAACACUGAAGAGUAGUAAAGAAUGAGAUAAAAACCACCAACCUUCUGAAUACCACAUUGGCUAGACACUGCCUUGGCUUCUCCCAGCCUAUCUUCUGAACCACAUAGAAGUAUACAGUAUCAGUGAAGCAGCUAGCUGUAAAAUGUGGGCUGAGUAGCAUAACACUUUUAUCUGAAAACCUUCAAUUCAUAGUAUCUGAAAGCAUUAACAUUCUCAGUCAUUAAUUUUUCCAACUACAAAAUGAAAGCACUUUGCAAGCAUCACAGACUUAUUGUAAUAGUUAAUUCUUGUUUCUGAUUAUUGUCAUCUUUUGGGGGAUUAAAGUAUUUUGGCAUGUUUGGCUCUCUAAUCUUAUUGCUACUUUCAGAAUUUGUGCUUUCAAGUGUCAUUGAAUAUGCACAGGACACAGUUGGGACAUGAAGAUAAACCUCACCUAAUACAGUAGAUGUCAUUUCUGGGUAAGGUUAACUGUGGGAAACAGAAAUGUGUUCACUAAGGAAACCUUAGGUCACAACCUCCAGUUUCCUGAAGGAAAUGCCAAAAAUGCUCCAAAGACAAAAGGCCGGAAACAAACUGGAAUGUCUCUCUCCAUCUGUCUGCUAAGGCGGAAGGAAUGAUUUCAUGUUACAUUCACUUCCUAGACUUUCAUUACAGAGUCAAGCAUAAUGGAAAAGUAUGUCCAUUUUGUGUUUCUGUGGAAGAUAAAAUGUUCAUAUUCUCAGACUUAUCUUCAUAAGCACAGUAGUGAUUCAUGAUAUGGGGAAAGAUGGGAUAGGGUGGCUGGCUUUGGGAGAUGGGGAGCUCUUUGGUGACACUUUUCCCCCUGUGAACACAUUAUCCAGUGAUUAGAUGUACUUUCUUCCUGGAAACUCCAGACUGUGCAUUUCAUUCCAAGAAAGCUGGGUAGUCAUGGACUGUGGUUUUCCUGGGCACAUGUGUGGUAGAGCCCCUGAUCAGACCAAGAAGCAAAGACUUAAGAAGAAGGAAUCCUUGGUUGUCUCUCAACGUGAAUAUAUGGUUUUAAUUCAGUGUAUUCUCAGAAGUAAGAAUGAGGAAAAAACCUUAGUAAUUAUAUGUUUGUACUAAAAAAUACACAUAUAAGGCUUUGAUUUUAAAAUUGUAGUGUUUUUCAAGAGGAGUGAAACAGAUCCUGGACAAUACUUGACAUAUUCUUGUAAAAAGUUCAAUUGACUCAAAAUAGUCAUGAAAAUUGUGAAGUAACAUCAUAUAAUACUUUAUCCCCAACAAUAUUAAAUGUGAUUACAAUUUUACAGAAUAUUCAAAUCAAGAUGUUAUAUAAGACAAAUUAUUAUUCUUGCUUUUACAUCUCCUUAGAAGGAUAAACAUUUAAUUGUUUUAAAAAUGUUUUAUUUAUGUUUUAGAAAUGAGGUGUCGCCUUCUUGCCCAGGCUAGUAUGCAGUGGCACAAUCAUAGCUCACUGCAGCCUUGAAUUCUUGGGCUCAAGUGAUCUUCCCGCCCCAAGCCUCCCAAGUAGCUGGGACCACAGGCACGUGCCACCAUGCCUGGCUAAUUUUUUUUUUUUUUAAUGUUUUGUAGAGACAGGAUCUCAGUAUGUUGCCCAGGCUGGUCUUUAAUUCCUGGGCUCAAGUGAUCCUCCCACAGAUUUGUCUGUGUUUUCUCUAAAUAGGUUAUAAAUACCUUGAGGGAGGAAUCACAAAUAACUAAAAGAAACUUCUGUAGAGACUAUCAGAGUAUUAUUUCCCUGUGGACACAGUAAAUGUAUGAUGAUGAGAAAUCAUAAUAAACUACAACAUUUUCUCUGCCCUUCCUUCCUGCUGUUUUGACGUAUACUUCACAUGGUCCAAGAAAAGGGACUCAAAAUACUUUUUAGCAUACACCAUUGCCUUCACUGCAAUGCUAAUUGGAACUCGAGUUGUCUCUCAGAACAUUCAAGCAAGCAAGGUUUACUUGCAUAACUAAAGGCCUUAUAUGGAUUAUCUAUAAAGAAAGAGGAUUUUAAACCAGUGGUUUAAAAACCUAGGAGAGAUAGGAGGAAGAGCAUAGUGAGGGGUUAGACCUGCAUUUAUUUCUGUCACACACAAUCUUUGACAAGAACCGGGACCCAGAGUAGUUUGGGUUCAUGUUGAAGAUAUCUCUCCUAAUACAUCCGAUCUCUUGUUCCCUACACUUUCUUCUUGGAUUCAGACUCUCAAGUAAUUUCUGUUUUUCCCAUGCUUUCUUUUUUAUCCCUUUGAGGACUAAAGGAUUAAAAAAUUAGACUUAGCUCUGGUUAUAGUCAUUAGCAAGAGCCAAGUGUGGACUGCAGACUUGAGUGAACAGGAAUUGCUACAUUUUAUGUAAUCCAACCUUGAUAUAUGAAGUAUCUUCAUAUAUCCAACCAGAAGCUUCCAUAUCAGUAAUGGAUAAAUACACCAUGGUAAAUUAAUACAAUGGAAUAUUAUUCAGCAACGAAAAAGGACCUACUACUAAUCUUGCAACCAUUUUCAUGAAUCUUAAACCUCGUAUGCAACCACAAAAGAGAACAUACAUCAUGAUUUCAUUUAUGUAAAACUUCCAGAAUAGGCAAAACUAAUAGAUGGAGAUAUAAAUCUGAACAGUGGUUGCCUGGGGUAAGAGGAUAAACUGGAAAGGAACAAGAGGGAACUUUCUAGGUUGUUAGCAAUGCUCUUUAUCUUAAUUUUUAGGACCUUGUUCACUCAGAUGUGCGUAUUUGUCUAAACUUAUGUAAUCAUAUUCUUAAGACCAGUGAAAUUUAAAAAUAACAAUAUGCUAGACUUUCACUUCUGAGUAUAAGGACUAUAUGAGACUUUCUCUGUGAAAUUGUGGGAAGGUUCCAUGAAGUUCAGUAGAAAGUGGCAGCUGCGCACAGUGGCUCCCGCCUGUAGUCCCAGCACUUUGGGAGGCCGAAGCAGGAGGAUAGCUUUGAGCUCAGGAGUUCAAGAUUAGCCUGGGCAACAUGGCAACACCCGUUUCUACAAAAAAUACAAAAAAAAUUAGCUGAGCAUGAUGGCUCACACCUGUAGUCCCAGCUAUUUGGAUGGCUGAGUCUGGAGAAUCACUUGAGUCCAGGAAGUGGAGGUUGCAGUGAGCCGAGAUCCAGCCACUGCAUUCCAACUCCAGCCUGGGUGACAGAGUGAGAUCCUGUCUCAAAAAAAAAAAAAAAAAAAAAAAAAGAAUGUGGAAAAGGUUCGAAAGUGUUUCAUAAAAGGGAAAUAUGCUACCCAGAAAUAAAACUUUAGAAUGCUAAAUAAUUGUGACAUGAUGAUACUCUGCUUCCAUAGGAUGCGAAUUUGACUUAUUAUUGGUAUUUGUAAUCCCCGAAGAGUUUCUGUGUCUUGAAAGAGUCUAGAGAUGUAAUGAAACUGUCACAAUAAAAGUUUAUUGAUAUUUGCAUUUCAGUUUUAGGAAUAUAUGUUGGGUUGUAAAUAGCCUUAUGAAGAAUGGAACUUGUAUACAUUGCAAGGAUAUGUAAACAUAUUAGUAUUGGAGACAUACAAAUUGGAGUGUGCCAAUUUCUUAUCAUGGCCACCUGACCAAACCUAUAAAAGGCAUUCACUCAGAUAAUAACACUUGUCCUGGGUGUAAGCACUGCAUUGUUAGAAGAAAUAGGCAGAGACACAAAGGCUAUGGAAGACAAGCUUAUGUUCCUGUGUGUUUUGUUUUUCAAUAAUUUCAGCUUUUAUAUUAGAUUCAGAGGGUACAUGUGCAGGUUUGUUACAUUGGCAUAUUGCUGUGAUGUUGAGGUUUGGGGUGUGAAUGAUCCCAUCACUGUGGUAGUGAGCAUAGUACCCAACAAGUUGUUUAUUAGCCAUUGUCCCCCUCCUUCUCUUUCCCUUCUAGUAGACACCGGUGUCUAUUGUUCCCUUAUUUAUUUAUUUUAGAGGGUCUCACUCUGUUGUCCAUGCUGGAGGGGAGUGGUGUGACCAUAGCUCACUGCAGCCUGGAACUUCUAGGCUCAAGCAAUCCUCCCGUCUCAGCUUCCAGAGUAGCUGGGACUAUAGGUGCGUGCUACUGCACCUGGCUAAUUAUUUAUUUUUGUAGAGACAGGGUCUCACUUUAUUGCCUAGGCUGUUCCCACACUCCUUACCUCAAGCAGUCCUUCCACCUUGGUUAUCCAAACUGCUAGAAUUACAGGCGUGAGCCAUCAUAACCAGCCUGUUUCCAUCUCUAUGUCCACGUGUACCCAUGGUGUGAGUUUUAUAAGUUUGCAGCCAGACACAUUGUUACCUGCACUCCCCUGUCUGAGGGGUCUUUCUUUCAGCCAGCUCUGGGAGUAACUGGACAGAGAAGAAAUGCCUCAGGUGCUGCACUGCUCUUUGGACAGACUGAUUAGAUACAAAGCAGAAAUAGAAAGAGGAAAGAAGGGGCAUGGUUACCUGAGCUAACAAGGAGCAGGGAGACUUAGGAAAUUGUUUAUCCAUUUCCCUAGAGCUCUACUACUAUUAUUACUCCACUUUUCUGCUGCUUUGUUGAUACCAGGGCAGAAAGAAAAACCUUGGAAAAAGUUACUGGUGUGGGUCAUGCUUCCUCCUCCCGUUCCUUUUGAUAGGUCGGUAAACUCACCCACUCAUCCACUCAACAAGAAUGCUCGCCCUGUGCUCUGUGCUGUGGAUCUAGGGGCAAAUAUAAACAGAGGUUCUGCCUUCCUAGAGCUCACGGGAUCCAUUCCUUCAGCUCUGGCACUCCUGUGGCUCCCUCCCUUUGGGGUCCAGGGACCUUGAUAUGGCAAGACAAAAUUCUUUCUUUUUUUUCCUUUUUUGAGACGGAGUGUCACUCUGUCGCUCAGGCUGGAGUGCAGUGAUGCGAUCACGGCUCACUGCAACUUCUGCCUCUCAGGUUCAAGUAAUUUUCCUGCCUCAGCUUCGUGAGUAGCUGAGAUUACAGGCGUGUGCCACUAUGCCAGGCUAAUUUUUCUGUUUUUAGUAGAGACAGCGUUUCAACAUGUUGGCCAGUCUGGUCUCGAACUCCUGGGAUCAAGCGACCCACCUGCCUCGGCCUCUCAAAGUGCUGGGAUUAUAGACGUGCAUCACGGCACCCAGCCAAGAAACAGUUCUUUUUUUCCCAUGAGUUUGUUCAUUGUUGUACACUUCCUCUAAUAUAUUGAGUUCUUUAGCAGUGUAAAAUAAUUUCAUUUAACAAAUACAAUUAAUAUUGGCAGCUUUUCAU